UACGGAGGGUGCAAGCGUUAAUCGGAAUUACUGGGCGUAAAGCGUGCGCAGGCGGUUUGUUAAGUCUGUUGUGAAAUCCCCGAGCUCAACUUGGGAAUUGCAAUGGAUACUGGCAGGCUGGAGUAUGGUAGAGGAAGGUGGAAUUCCCGGUGUAGCAGUGAAAUGCGUAGAGAUCGGGAGGAACACCGGUGGCGAAGGCGGCCCACUGGUCCGGUACUGACGCUGAGUGCGAAGCGUGGGAGGCAAACAGGAAUUGAGACUAC
rnacentral:rRNA from 1 species